rnacentral:misc_RNA from 1 species
CAGUGUCGAUGUAGCGCUUGCGCAACUCCGGCCACGUCUCCUUGUGGAACUUCGCGCAGUGCGGGCACGUCAUCGAGGCGUAUUCGAUGAUCGUGCACUUGGCGUCGGCCGGGCCGAGCCAGACAUCGCCCAACGGGCCGGGCUGGAGCAGCGCGGCGUUGUCGACCGUGUCGGCGAAGGCCGGGGCCGCGAAGGCCGGGAGGGCGAGGCCGGCGGUGACGAGGCCGGUGAGCUUCAAUGCGUCGCGUCGGGUGGUCAUUGGCGUGAUGCCUCCGCCGUUUGGCGUGUGUCGUUGUGCAA